rnacentral:lncRNA from 1 species
CCGCCCUAGCUGGAUCCAAUUCCUAGAUUCACCAUUGAUUUUGACAUGUGAUGAUUCUCCCCAGGUAGGUCAACCUUCAAACUUCAACUAGAUUAAUAACCUCACUAGAAAUCUAAAUCAACAAUUAAGUAUCCAAGCUUAGCAGGAUAGAAACAUGCUUAUGGUUGUUUUGCAGCUACCUUAACACACUUUUUCUUUUCUUUUCUUUAAUUUUCUAUUUUGUCCCCUCUUUUAGUAUUUAUAUCUUUUCAAUUGUUUCAUAUGUAGUUUCUACUCAACGUUGCAGCAUCUCCCAAUCAUCGAUGAUGAAUAUGGCCAAAUUAUUCAAGGCUCGCUUCACACAACCUAUGUUGCUCCGACUCUCCAAAAGUGGAGAACUAUUCGUGUCAACACGACAUGACACGGAUACUGACACAAGAUAUAGAUUGAAUCCUCGAUUUUACACUUGGACACGACUAGAAGAUGACGGAAGGUGUCUUGCUUCUCUGGGGACUGAAAAUUUUGCAGAGAGAGAGAGAGAGAUUUGGGGGAAGACAAUGAAUUAGGAAAGACGAUGAGUUUUAAGGGGUUAAAUGGACUUUUGAGAAGUCCAAUGGAUAGAGUAAAUGAGAGUGUAUUAAAUGGGCUCUUGUGAAGUCCAAUGAAUGUAGUUAAUGAGUUUAUUUUUGUAUAAUUUAAAUUGAGU